AGAUGUGAGGGCGAUCUGGCUGCGACAUCUGUCACCCUCAUCUGGCUGGCUAGACCGGUGUCCCUUUUCUCCCUCACUGCUCCAUGGGCGUCCCUCCAGGAGCUGCCCUCUCGGUCAAACAGGACAGCCUUCCCCAGUAGAGAUGGACUGGUCUUCGGCUGAGAGUGUACAAGUAGCUGUUCUCCCCUGCUAGAACCUCUGGACAAGCUCUCGAGGUCAAGAAGCUACGUUGGUUGCAGACAAUCUAUGUCGGGCCUGCACAUAGCAUUCCUCGGAU
ensembl:misc_RNA 7SK 7SK RNA